GAUGAACGCUAGCGGCAGGCUUAAUACAUGCAAGUCGAGGGGCGGCAUGACUGUAGCAAUACAGUUGAUGGCGACCGGCAAACGGGUGCGGAACACGUACAGAACCUUCCUUCGAGCGGGGAAUAGCCCAGAGAAAUUUGGAUUAAUACCCCAUAGUAUAUUUGAAAGGCAUCUUUUAAAUAUUAAAGAUUUAUCACUUUAAGAUGGCUGUGCGGCUGAUUAGGUAGUUGGCGGGGUAACGGCCCACCAAGCCUGCGAUCAGUAACUGGUGUGAGAGCACGACCAGUCACACGGGCACUGAGACACGGGCCCGACUCCUACGGGAGGCAGCAGUGGGGAAUAUUGGACAAUGGGCGAAAGCCUGAUCCAGCCAUGCCGCGUGUGUGAAGAAGGCCUUCGGGUUGUAAAGCACUUUAAGCGAGGAGGAAUGGCUCUUGGUUAAUAACCUUGAGCAGUGACGUUACUCGCAGAAUAAGCACCGGCUAACUCUGUGCCAGCCGCCGCAGUAACAC
rnacentral:rRNA from 1 species